UUGCUGUACUUUUCAUUGAUUUUUUUUUUUUAUAGUCCUUUUCAUGUGCAACCAUAAGAAGCUUAUGAGGAUCGUGAUGGUGAAAGUAUUUACUAUUAAAUUCUUUCUUAUUGUCUUUUUUCACAUGCAACCAUAGGAAGCUCUGGAGGAUCAUGAUGGUGCAAGUAAAGGGAAAUACACUAUUGGACUUGGGCAAGAUUGCAUGGCCUUUUGUACGGAGUUGGAAGAUGUCAUUUCUAUGAGCUUGACAGUUGUUACUUCCCUUCUUGAGAAAUAUGGGAUUGACCUAUGAUAAAUUGGUUGCCUGGAAGUGGGCAGUGAGACUGUGAUAGACGAGCAAAUCCAUAUAGACUUGGCUGAUGCAAAUCUUUGAGGAAUUGGGGAAUACGGACAUCGAAGGAGCUGAUUCAACAAAUGCAUGCUAUGGAGGAACUGCAGCUUUAUUCAACUGUGUAAAUUGGGUGGAGAGUAGCUCUUGGGAUGGACGUUAUGGAC